CGCCGCCGGCCGGAUUCCUCCUGCUCAUGUGCCUCUGAUUUGGAUCGAAGUCACGGCGGUAUAUAUAUAUAUAUAAAGCACAGAUUGACUGGAGUGGUCUGCGGUGAAAAAACGUUUCGUUCGUGGGCUGACGCACGGGCUCUCCUCCCCCCGCGCAGCGCCCCCCGAGCUCCAGAUCGGGAGGGGAGCUCCCGAUCCAGAGCCCCUCGCCGCCCCGCUGCCUUCGCGCUCGGCCUCGCCACCGGCCGCCGCGCCGCCGUCGACCAUAGCCGGACCUCCACGCCUCGCGCCCCCUCUUAUGGAGCAGCCAUGGCCACCGGCCGCCGCGCCGCCCACCACGACGAGCUGCUCAGCACUCUCCUCGCCGCCGCGGGCAACGGCCGGGAGGAGGAGGAGGACGCGCGGGAGGCGCGGCAGCGUCAGAAUCAACGCGUCGAAUCCGGCCUCGGCUUACGGCGACACGGACGUGGAGGCUCUGGCUGCGACCGCCGCACUCUAUGCCCCGACCCUGCUCGCCGAGCCCUGCCUCUCCGGUUCUCCAUCCAUGUACGCUGUCGGGGACUUGCAGGUCCAAGCUUGCUGCUAUCAUCUUCAAUUUGCAGAAGAAAGUUGGGUCCUCACGGAGGGAAGGAAGGAUGUUUGCUAAUGUGGUUGGGUGGCUUUCUGUUUUUGGAAGGAGGAAGGUUUAUUCAGUCCAUCCUCCUGCCUCUCCCUGCACAAAAAAUGGUUCAUCCUUCAUUGGUAUGUUUGCAGCUAUGUAGGAGGUGAACGCAGAGACAACUGCGGGCUAGCUGCAGCUUCUGUUUGAGCAGAGGCGAUCGUUCCUUGCCGGAAUCGUAUUUCAUGUGAACCUCUCUGAAUUUUUCCACAUGUUUACAAGUAUCAGCCUGUGGUAUGCAGCUGCUCUGUUAGUUGUCUCUAUUAUUCUGAUGUCUCACCCCUUUUUUUGUUGCAAUUUUUUAGCUCUGCAUUGUAUAAUUGCUGCUAAUUCAAGUAUUGGAUUUUGUGCUUUACGGGAAACCACUUGAUCUGACCCCAAAACAGGAGAAAAUUAUGUAUAACAAGGCCAAUGAAAUCAAUGGUAGCCCCUGUUUCUAUCCCUAUUUCUCUGUCUGAAGCUGUUCUUUUAUUCAAUACAUAAGCAUCGACAGCUUACUAUUCCUAAAUUAGCUUCUAUGCAAUUUUAUUCAGAGUUGUGAUCUGGAUGGAUCUGGAUGUUUGUGAUUUUUAUGAUCCAUUAUUACACUUCAUUUGAUGUUGAAUGCAUCUGAGGUUCCAUGCAAUAGAUUAAAACCUGAAUUUCUCACCCACUGACAAUUUGGUAGAUGUUGAAUGGAUCUGGAUGAAGAGUUUGUGAUCUGGAGGGAUCUUGCUGUUUAUUUAGAUUAAAACUGAAGGGUAUACUUCAUUUGAAAUCUUACAUGCUAACAAUUCAGGGUACAUGAGAGGCUGCUCGACCGCAGCUUCUGGAUCAGGUCAACGCGGCUGCUCGAGAGGCUGGGGACGACGCAUCUGCUCGGUGCAGAAUGGCGGUGGCGGGAUCCAGCGGGCGCGGGAGAAUGAGGGAUCCGGCGCCGCGGGCGAAGUCCUUGCAGCUGGAGGCGGGCCUCCAUGGCUGGCAGGGAGAGCUCCAAGGUCAUGGCGGGGCUUUGAUUUUUCUGGUAGAAAAGAGAGACAGAGGAGGAUCCAGGGAGGAGGAGAGGUAGGAGAAGAAGGAAGGGUGCGGCAGGGUGCAGCGGUGCGAGGGCACUGGUCUCCCGCGUGAGGAGCGCCUCUCCUCGGGAGGAUCUGGAGGGAGUGAGUGAAACUCAAAUCCACUUCAGAGCAAGGUACUGUUGUAGAAGUACGAAGAAGCAAGCUGACCAGAUGUACAAGUAGUAGCCGGCAACGACGAUGAAGCAAGCCAACCAGAUGUGCACGAAACGACCAUACAUCAUGCCUGAUUGAUCCUCCGUUCAUCAUCCGCAAGAUCUACAUCAUCAUCUUUGGGUCAGUUCGCCAUGAAGGCCAUUCUGCGAACGAGGUUGUUCAUGUCCCUCCUCAUGUACAGUUGUACUUCUAUUCUAGGAUUUCAACUCUGCACUCCAUUCCGCAUCCUGAAUAUUCAGAGUCUCGAGUUUGCAUGAGUCUCGAUUUGAUUAAAUGAACAGGUCAGUAAGAUAGAUUUUUGGUCGAGGAUAGAUUUUUGAUCGUGUGUGGGAUGAGAGGGAAUACUUAUCGGGUUAGGGUCGUGACAUUUUUUCUCCCGUUGCAACGCACGGGCAUUUUUGCUAGUAUAUAUUAUUUUUUAUUUUUUAUUUAUAUUUUUAUUUUUUAUAUAAUAAAGCACGGAUCGACUUUGUCGGGUUCACCGUCACGUCACAAUACGCUUUCUUCUCAUGUUAUAAUACGCUUUCACUUUGGAUUUAAUUGACUUUGUCGGGUUCACCGUCACAAUACGCUUUCUUCUCAUGUUAUAAUACGCUUUCACUUUGGAUUUAAAACAUAUAAGCAAGGUGGUACUAAUUCGGCUCGUACCUCAUCCACACCCGUUUUCGUCCGUCCACCGUUUUGUUCGUAAGUCAGUUUCGUUCGGCACCGGCACUGAGAUAGGCAAGCGAACGAUCCAGCCCAUGAGCUGG